rnacentral:rRNA from 1 species
GACGAACGCUGGCGGCGUGCUUAACACAUGCAAGUCGAACGGAAAGGCCCUGCUUUUGUGGGGUGCUCGAGUGGCGAACGGGUGAGUAACACGUGAGUAACCUGCCCUUGACUUUGGGAUAACUUCAGGAAACUGGGGCUAAUACCGGAUAGGAGCUCCUGCUGCAUGGUGGGGGUUGGAAAGUUUCGGCGGUUGGGGAUGGACUCGCGGCUUAUCAGCUUGUUGGUGGGGUAGUGGCUUACCAAGGCUUUGACGGGUAGCCGGCCUGAGAGGGUGACCGGCCACAUUGGGACUGAGAGACGGCCCAGACUCCUACGGGAGGCAGCAGUGGAGAAUAUUGCGCAAUGGGCGGAAGCCUGAUGCAGCAACGCCGCGUGCGGGAUGACGGCCUUCGGGUUGUAAACCGCUUUCGCCUGUGACGAAGCGUGAGUGACGGUAAUGGGUAAAGAAGCACCGGCUAACUACGUG